CCAACGGCUCUUUUCAGAGCCACCCACUUAAUUACUAAAGAGCUG
rfam:Balearica pavonina gibbericeps contig88100, whole genome shotgun sequence.